rnacentral:rRNA from 1 species
UGAGGAAUAUUGGGCAAUGCCCGCAAGGGUGACCCAGCAACGCCGCGUGGAGGAUGAAUGUCGUAAGAUUGUAAACUCCUGUUAGAGGGGAAGAAUAGUACCGGUUGGACCGGUAUAUGACUGUACCCUCAGAGAAAGCCCCGGCUAACUACGUGCCAGCAGCCGCGGUAAUACGUAGGGGGCAAGCGUUGUCCGGAUUUACUGGGUGUAAAGGGCGCGCAGGCGGGAUAAAAAGUCAGUGGUGAAAUCCUACAGCUUAACUGUAGAACUGCCUUUGAUACUUUUAUUCUUGAGUUCGGGAGAGAGAGACGGAAUUCCAGGUGCAGUGGUGAAAUACGUAGAUAUCUGGAAGAACACCAGUUGCGAAGGCGGUCUCUUGGUCCGACACUGACGCUGAGGCGCGAAAGCGUGGGGAGCAAACA